rnacentral:rRNA from 1 species
GGCUUGUUGAUUAUAAUUUCAAGUCUUACCUGCCCACUGAUUGAUUGAAUGGCCGCGGUAUUUUGACCGUGCAAAGGUAGCAUAAUCAUUAGUUUUUUAAUUGGAAGCUUGAAUGAAAGGUUUGAUGAGAAAGUUUCUGUCUCUAGAAGAGUUUAUUAGAAUUUUAUUUUUAAGUUAAAAAGCUUAAAUGUUUAUAGAAGACGAGAAGACCCUAUAGAGUUUUAUACAAAUGAAUAUGUUUAGUAUUUAAGGGUUUUAUGUCCCAAAUGUGUUUUUUGUAUUUUGCUGGGGUGGUAGGAAAAUUUGAAAAACUUUUUCUUAUUUAAAUAUUUAUUUUUAGGUUUAUGAUCCUUGAUUUAGAUUAUAAGAUUAAAUUACCUUAGGGAUAACAGCGUUAUUUUUUUUAGAGUUCUUAUCGAAUAAAAAGAUUGCGACCUCGAUGUUGGAUUAAAAUUUAUUACUGGUGAAGAGGCUGGUAUAUUAGGUCUGUUCGACCUUUAAAAUUUUACAUGAUCUGAGUUUAAACCGGCGUGAG